GCAGUCGUCCAGGCGAUCGCUGGUGGCCGGGCGCUCCUGGCUGCUGGAGGAAAGUCCGAACUCCGCAGGGCAGUGCGCCGGGUAACGCCCGGGCGGGGCAACCCGACGGAAAGUGGCACAGAAAAUAUACCGCCGGCGUCGUGCCGGCUGACUCCUCCAAAUGGCCCGGUGCAUGCUGACCGGUGGACGCGCGGGGAGUGAACCGGUACGACGCAGGUAAGGGUGAAAAGGUGCGGUAAGAGCGCACCGCGCUCCCGGUGACGGGAGUGGCAGGCAAAACCCCGCACGGAGCAAGACCAAAUAGGGAGGCGCUCGAGGACGGCCCGUCCGAAGCCUCCGGGUAGGUUGCUCGAGGCCGUCAGCAAUGCCGGUCCCAGAGGAAUGAUCGCCCAUCCGAGCGUCCCGCAAGGGAGGCGAGGGGGACAGAAUUCGGCUUAUCGGGCGACUGUCGCA
rnacentral:RNase_P_RNA from 1 species